UACGUGAGCCCCGACCGUUAGUCGGAAUUAUUGGGCGUAAAGGGUCCGUAGGCGGGAUGGUGCGUCUACUGUUAAAUCUUAAGGCUUAACCUUAAGGCUGCAGUGGAUACGGCCAUUCUUGAGGAACGGAGAGGUAAGCGGAACUCCUGGUGGAGCGGUGAAAUGCGUUGAUAUCAGGGGGAACACCAAUUGCGAAGGCAGCUUACUGGCCGUUUCCUGACGCUCAGGGACGACAGCGUGGGGAGUGAAUGGG
rnacentral:misc_RNA from 1 species